AGCGCAGACGGUUAUUUAAGUCUGAAGUGAAAGCCCUCAGCUCAACUGAGGAAUGGCUUUGGAAACUGGAUGACUUGAGUGCAGUAGAGGAAAGUGGAACUCCAUGUGUAGCGGUGAAAUGCGUAGAUAUAUGGAAGAACACCAGUGGCGAAGGCGGCUUUCUGGACUGUAACUGACGCUGAGGCGCGAAGCGUGGGAGCAAACA
rnacentral:rRNA from 1 species